rnacentral:rRNA from 1 species
CCUACGGGUGGCAGCAGUGAGGAAUAUUGGUCAAUGGGCGCGAGCCUGAACCAGCCAAGUAGCGUGAAGGAUGAAUGCCCUACGGGUUGUAAACUUCUUUUAUAAAGGAAUAAAGUGAGGCACGUGUGCCUUUUUGUAUGUACUUUAUGAAUAAGGAUCGGCUAACUCCGUGCCAGUAGCCGCGGUAAUACGGAGGAUCCGAGCGUUAUCCGUAUUUAUUGGGUUUAAGGGGAGAGUCGAUGGGUUAUUAAGUCAGUUGGGAAAGUUUGCGGCUCAACCGUAAAAUUGCAAUGGAGACUGGCAGUCUUGAGUACAGUUGAGGUAGGCGGAAUUCGUGGUGUAGCGGUGAAAUGCUUAGAUAUCACGAAGAACUCCGAUUGCGAAGGCAGCUUACUAAACUGCCACUGACAUUGAUGCUCGAAAGUGUGGGUAUCAAACAGGAUUAGAUACCCCAGUAGUC